rnacentral:tRNA from 1 species
CGCCCGUGGUCGAGGUCGCGGCGAGGGUGUGCUUGCCGUCCUUGAUCGCGGUGGUGUCGAGAUCGGCGCUCAGGCCGCCGGCGGGGGC